rnacentral:lncRNA from 1 species
GUUAGGUUAGAACAGGACAGGGGUGAAGGGUUAGGUUAGAACAGGACAGGGGUUAAGGGUUAGGUUAGAACAGAACUGAGGUGAAGGGUUAGAACAGGACUGGGUUGAAGGGUUAGAUUAGAACAGGACUGGGGUGCAGGGUUAGGUUAGAACAGGACUGGGGUGAAGGGUUAGGUUAGAACAGGACAGGGGAGAAGGGUUAGAACAGGACUGGGGUGAAAGGGGUUAGGUUAGAACAGGACAGGGGUGAAGGGUUAGAACAGGACUGGGGUUAAGGGUUAGGUUAGAACAGGACUGGGGUGAAGGGUUAGGUUAGAACAGGACUGGGGUGAAGGGUUAGGUUAGAACAGGACAGGGGUGAAGGGUUAGAUUAGAACAGGACAGGUGUGAAGGGUUAGAACAGGACUGGGGUGAAGGGUUAGAUUAGAACAGGACUGGGGUGAGGGGUUAGG